AGAGCGAACGCUGGCGGCAGGCCUAACACAUGCAAGUCGAACGGACUCUUCGGAGUUAGUGGCGGACGGGUGAGUAACACGUGGGAACGUGCCUUUUGGUUCGGAAUAGCUCCUGGAAACGGGUGGUAAUGCCGAAUGUGCCCUUCGGGGGAAAGAUUUAUCGCCAUUAGAGCGGCCCGCGUCUGAUUAGCUAGUUGGUGAGGUAAAGGCUCACCAAGGCGACGAUCAGUAGCUGGUCUGAGAGGAUGACCAGCCACAUUGGGACUGGGACACGGCCCAAACUCCUACGGGAGGCAGCAGUGGGGAAUCUUGCGCAAUGGGCGAAAGCCUGACGCAGCCAUGCCGCGUGAAUGAUGAAGGUCUUAGGAUUGUAAAAUUCUUUCACCGGGACGAUAAUGACGGUACCGGAGAAGAAGCCCGGCUAACUCGUGCCAGCAGCCGC
rnacentral:rRNA from 1 species